rnacentral:lncRNA from 1 species
CUUGUCAAAUCACCUAGAUCCUCUCUGCACUAAAAACAAUACUUGAAUUCUUUCAGAAAAAACCUCCAUCAACAUUCAAUUUGAAAAUAAUAGAACAACAAGUAGCAGGAAUUCAACGUGUCAGCCCUAUCUUUGAGCAGGACUACAUUAUUCAGUAGAAAUCUAUUCUAGACUGUGAAAGAUAUGUGAUAAGAUGAUGAACUGACUGAAGAACAGCUGUACAUUUAUGGAUUGCAAAAGCUGCUUUAAAUGAUGGAACAGAAAAUAUCAGUAUUUGAUGAACUGUACUGUAAAGAAUCACAAAAGAUUCUUAUAGAUCCUGAGAAUGUGACAUAGUAUUUAAGCAAAACUGGUGAACGCUCAAAAAACCAACUCACCAUUGUUUUUGCUGAUCAAUGUUAAGGACUUACAUAUGGUCCUUGUUCACGUUCUCUCUAUUAGAGGGGGUUUCUCUCAGUUUCAGUAGUUGGCAGUCAUGAUUUCUCAUUUUCACAAUUGCAGUUGCUGUUAAAUCGCUUCUGCUUGAAAAACUCUUGCAAGUUACAUCACUGGGAAUCAUCAAAGUUGCCAUUUUGGAGAAUACAGAUCAUUGUCAGCCAUAAGUACGACCUCACGGAAAAAGAGAGACAUUGCAGUGAAUCAGCCCCCAGACGUGUCACAGGAGUGUCUGCGUUUGCACGCAAGAGGCUUCUGAAGAGACCUUCAGCACAGCUCUGCCGAGACACUGCCUGUGCUGGGGUGAGGAACCCCCCUGGCAGAAGUGAGUGAGUGCGUGAACGAGGGAAGGAGUGAAAGACUGCCUGUCAGACUGCACUACCUGUGUGUUAAUCUGACCACUUCAGACAACGAGUACCACACAGAACCCAUGUUGUUCCAAGAUGUGAAUUCACAUACAAAGCAAGCUGUAAGUCUCAUCAUAAAAGCUUGUUCAUCUCUGAAAAGCUAGUCUGCUUCAGGUGCUUGUGAUUCCCAAUUGGGAAAGCUGGUGUAAUUCAUCUCUUGGCAUGUUUGUACUGCAUCUAAUGCAACAGAACCAUGAUCGCAGUGGGGAGAGGAAGACUUCUUUCUGAGGAGAUGGGGAAGGUGUUACAAAGGUGCAUUUAUGGUAGCAUGUUGAUGGAGGGGGAAGCAUAAGAGUGUUUACCCAAGGUAACAUAAUGUGAGUUGCCCUGAGACACAAAAGGGUUUAUCAUUACAGAUUCUUGAGCCAUGGAAGAGGGCCACCAACAGCGAAUGGCUUCAGCAAAGUCAAGCCAACUUCUUUCCAAGGCCUCACACAUUAGUUCACGCCGAGUCUGACCAUCUGAGUUCCUUGGAAGUGAAUGCAAAUGCCUACGUGAAGCCCAAGCAAGCUGGACUUUUUGUGAAACAUUACUAAUUAUAUUUAUAUGGUGGUAGCACUCAGGAACUGCUGACCAUAGAGUAAACAUAGUUUCUGCCUGAAGGCCAGAAGGUACAGUUCUGUACAGAAAAUACUUCAUAGAAGUUGUAUUACCAUCAGCGUGGUCUUGCUCUGCAAAUCUACUUAAUCUAUGUAUUUAGAGUCAUGUGCGCUUUAGUGACGUAAUAAAGGCCAGUUAAUUCUUUUCCCUACUCUGAUG